AGGAUGGAGGAAAGGGACUUCUGUCCAUGCUUUGACCUCAGCGGUGAAGGGGAACUGGCUCCCUGAAGACAAGAUGGCAGCGGUGUCAGACAGAAAGAAUUAAGGACCUGUUCUAUCAGCAUCAGCCAUGCUCCUGAAAACAGACGCUUCAGGGAAAAUUAACUGGACAGACUCACCUGAGAAUUGGUCCCCUUCUCAAGAAGUAAUUCACCAGAUGCUUGAUUCAAUGUUUAUUUUGUUACAGCUUCUUUGUAUUUGACCACCAAUCACACCCAAACUAUAUGUAAAAUAUUUAGAUUAUCAUUGGAGAUGCACUUUAAAAUAAAUUUUUAGUAACCCAUAGUUAGAAAACAAGGGAAAAGAAAUUUUUAUAAAUAGGUUUUUAAUCCAAACAUAACAUGGAAUAAAAAAUACCAAGAGAAAA